UGGGGGAAUAUUGGGCAAUGGGGCGCAAGCCUGACCCAGCAACGCCGCGUGAAGGAUGAAGGCUUUCGGGUUGUAAACUUCUUUUAUCAGGGACGAAUCAAGUGACGGUACCUGAUGAAUAAGCCACGGCUAACUACGUGCCAGCAGCCGCGGUAAUACGUAGGUGGCAAGCGUUAUCCGGAUUUACUGGGUGUAAAGGGCGUGUAGGCGGGACUGCAAGUCAGGUGUGAAAACCACGGGCUCAACCUGUGGCCUGCAUUUGAAACUGUAGUUCUUGAGUGCUGGAGAGGCAAUCGGAAUUCCGUGUGUAG
rnacentral:rRNA from 1 species